CUGACCAGGACGCAAGGGUCGACGUUCGUGCAACGAGCCCAUUCCACCUGCAUUAAGCAGGUGGAUGCCCCAAAAGUCAG
ncrna:unclassified sequences L4-Archaeoglobi ribosomal protein leader